UACGGAGGGUGCAAGCGUUGUCCGGAUUUAUUGGUUUAAAGGGUGCGUAGGCGGCCGAUUAAGUCUGGGGUGAAAGCCCGUUGCUCAACAACGGAACUGCCCUGGAAACUGGUCGGCUUGAGUACAGACGAGGGUGGCGGAAUGGAUGCUGUAGCGGUGAAAUGCAUAGAUAGCAUCCAGAACCCCGAUUGCGAAGGCAGCUGCCUAGACCUGUAACU
rnacentral:rRNA from 1 species